UCUUGGUCAUUUAGAGGAAGUAAAAGUCGUAACAAGGUUUCCGUAGGUGAACCUGCGGAAGGAUCAUUCAUAAUAAGUGUUCUACUGCACUUUUUAAAAAUAGUACUCACCUUGUGUGCAAUGUUUGUUAGACUCUCUCGGGAGUCUGACAUUUAUACCAACCUUUUUUAUUUUGAACCACUUUGUCUGAAAAAUAUUAUGAAUACUUAAUUCUAAAUACAACUUUCAACAACGGAUCUCUUGGUUCUGGCAUCGAUGAAGAACGCAGCGAAAUGCGAUAAGUAAUGUGAAUUGCAGAAUUUAGUGAAUCAUCGAAUCUUUGAACGCACAUUGCGCCCCUUGGCAUUCCGAGGGGCAUGCCUGUUCGAGCGUCAUCACAACCCUCAAGCUCCGCUUGGUGUUGGGCAUCGCCAGUGUUGGUGUGCCUUAAAAUCAGUGGCGGUGCCAUCUGGCCCUCAGCAUAGUAGUAAUUCUCUUGCUAUAGGGACCCGGUAGGUGCCUGCCAUCACCACAGUUAUUAAGGUUGACCUCGGAUCAGGUAGGGAUACCGCUGAACUUAAGCAUAUCAUAGCGGAGAAUCACUGUGAUUCCGGCCGCUGCGUCGCCAUUGGGAA
rnacentral:rRNA from 1 species